rnacentral:rRNA from 1 species
UACGUAGGGGGCAAGCGUUGUCCGGAUUUAUUGGGCGUAAAGAGCGUGUAGGCGGUCAGGUAGGUCCGUUGUGAAAACUCGAGGCUCAACCUCGAGACGCCGAUGGAAACCAUCUGACUAGAGUCCGGAAGAGGAGAGUGGAAUUCCUGGUGUAGCGGUGAAAUGCGCAGAUAUCGUAAGGAAGACCAGUGGCGAAGGCGGGUCUCUGGACAGUUCCUGACGCUGAGGCACGAAGGCCAGGGGAGCAAACCGGGG